AGGAGUUCUGGUCGCCUUACUAACCACAGGAACACAACACUGCUUGAAAGCAAUAUUAUUUAGCUAUGAUCUUCCUUAAGGCUUACUUUGAAAUACA